AAGAUUUUUAUUUAUUUCAUGUAUAUGAGUAUCCUGUAGCUGUCUUCAGACUAGAAGAGGGCAUUGGAUCCCAUUACAGAAGGUUAUGAGCCACCAUGUGGUUGCUGGGAUUUGAACUCAGGACCUCUGGAAGAGCAGUCGGUGCUUUUAACCGCUGAGAAUCUGCAUUUCUUAGGGAGAUUGGUGGGCUGGGGAGAGGUUAUGGUUCAGUUCUGAGUUCCUAGCAUAUAUUUUAUACUCAUUCUUCUUUUUUUUUUUCCUUUUUUUUUUUUUUUUUUAGGACUGGAUUUCUUUGUGUUUGUCUGCCUUGGAACUCACUCUAGACCAGGCUGUCUUGGAAUUCAUAGAGAUCCUCCUGCCUCUGAGUGCUGGGAUUAAUGCCAUGCUACAUCAUUGACUGGUUGAGGGUUCUUUUUAAAUUCAACUCAAGCAUUUACUUUUCCAUGAUGCAAGGCAUUAUUUUACUUUUUACAUUUUGGUUAGUAUACAUUCAUACUGUAUGCUAGGUUACUAUACACUCAUAGUGUAUGCUAGGUUACUAUACACUCAUAGUGUAUGCUAGGUUACUAUACACUCAUAGUGUCUGCUAGGUUACUAUACACUCAUAGUGUAUGCUAGGUUACUAUACACUCAUAGUGUAUGCUAGGUUACUAUACACUCAUAGUGUAUGCUAGGUUACUAUACACUCAUAGUGUAUGCUAGGUUACUAUACACUCAUAGUGUAUGCUAGGUUACUAUACACUCAGUGUAUGCUAGGUUACUAUACACUCAUAGUGUAUGCUAGGUUACUAUACACUCAUAGUGUAUGCUACUGGGCUGUACGGACAUUCUCACACAAGUAUAGAAAGUACUUUGAGCACAUUAUCCCUCCAGAAC
rnacentral:lncRNA from 1 species